rnacentral:lncRNA from 1 species
UCUGGUUCCGGCCUGCAGCUCCCCAGCCCAGGGCCGCGGGCUACAGCCGUUCCUUCUCCCUGCUCCUCUGCCCUUGCUUCUUCCACGCCGUGCUGCUUUAGCUCGGGGAUAAAAUCCCGUCGCGCGCAGCCUCUGCUCACCGUGGCUGGUGCGCUCAUUUCCGUCGAGCUCCUUCUCUGCCAUGGCCGCCGUCAAGUUCCUCCCUGAAGCUCCCCGCGCAGCAGCAAAUCAUCUGCUCCCUGGAUAUUUUCAGCGCUUAGCAAUCUUUAUCUCCAGCCGUGCGUUCUUCUUCUUUGCGCAGCAAAUCCUCUGCUCUGCUCCCACGGACGGCUCCCUCCCAUGGCGGCCGCUCGUUCCACCUCCCUGCACCGCGCCGUGAAGGUCUCUGCCUCCCUGCUCGGUUUCCGGCUCCAGCUCGCGUCGAGCUCCCUUCUCUGCUUCCUGCCGCGAAGUUCCAUGGCGCUCGGCGUCUAGCUUCCUACGCGACGGCCGCCGGCCAUCUCCAGCUCUCCCUUGCGCGCGCGAUGCUCCCUGCUCGCAUCCGUACAGAACCGCGUCAGCUCCUGUGCUGAGCUCUGCAGCCGCGCUUCCUCCAACAGCAGCUGCGUCACUAGGCCCUCGACGUCGUGCUGUGCGCUGGGACGUGCCCAGCCUUCUCGAAUCACGCCGUCGAUUUUUGGCACCCUUACACACAUCUCUACAGAUCCUGUCUCAUCACGUGUCCGCAUCAUUGAUUUUGUUGUCGUUCGUGCAUCCCCAAGAAAUCCCAAGAAUCGGGUGAAGACGAAGUUAAUAGUGCGAUAUUUCCCAGGCGCUCGACAAUUGACUAGAUCGGAAAAUCACUACCGAUCUCGUGGAUUUGAGUCGGCUAUUGAAACGGUAAGCUGAUAAAUUAUCCAAAAUAGUUCGAUCGUUGCAUAAAUUGAUGUGCUAGUACGAGGUGCAUUAAGGUGCUCGAUAAAUUGCGUGAGUCACGAAACUCUCGUCGACUUCGCAGUUCUUGCGAUUAUCGAGCCAGAUUCAGCUAUAGCGAAUUAUUUCGCUAUUUCAGUCACUUAGCUGAAUUAGUGGAUCGAGUAGAAUUUUAGUAGGCAUGUGUGAUGAUGAAAUAUUUUAAUCACUUAUAAAGAUGUAGUAUAAUUUAUAAAGAAAGGGAUUAAUUCAGAAUUUAAUUAAUUAACUGAUAAGUUGUGAUUAGGCUAAUUGUAUUUCAUGUGUAUAAUUUGUUGUUCGUGAUGUUUGCGUUAGAUUCGAGAAGCGUAAUUAUUGCGCGCAGUCGUAUAUUAAUAACUAGUGUUUGCGUACACAAUUGUACAACGCCUCACCGCUAGGUGUUAAAUUCGCUAUCGCGUAGCACUAUUUAGUUUGUAAUAUUCUCGUUUAUAUGCAUUCAUGUGCAUAAUGCAUUUCAUUCAGGUACGUUAAUUAAUCGUGUGAUGCGAAGAACGACCCAAGUCGACCCCAAGCAUGGGCCAAUCCACAGGAUGAUGCUAAUGGACAAACCUGAAGAGGAUUGUCAAGUGGACAUCGUCUAACAACACUAACCUAGUGUUACCCAGGCAAGCCCCGGUGCAUGCAACCCCUUUCCUUGUGUUUUAAAUACUUUUUACACACUUAAGUCUAGUGAAAUGUGCAUUAGGUUCAUAGGAGUUACUUGAAACCCUUUGAUGCAUUGCUUUCCUUGAUAUCCAUACCUUUAUAGAUACUUCUCUGAAGUAUCAAAAUUAUGAUUUACAAAAAUGCUUAGCCUUGCUUAGAUCUUGUGGAUAGAGGUUGUCCUCAAUUUAACCCGGGAGAGGAUGGCUUCUACCCGCAAGAAUAUUAGUGGGAUCUUACUGCAAAGUUCCCUGUGAUGCUCUUUCAUCCUAAGGAACAGACACAAUCCUAAGGAUGGAAAUGCUUAAAUUGAGACUUGGGUUAGGAACAGGUGAUGUUCUACCCAGGUUGGUUAAGGAUUAACGCGUAUGUAGGCGUGCUGACCGAGGACCCUUUAACUGGUCACAUGCCUCGUCAUGGGUAAGCCUUGCCUCGGGCAGACUAAGGCCAGAAUAAGAUAACACGAAAUGGGCGUGGAGCGGUGGCGAGAGUAGCGUGUACCCUCCGUGGCAAGAGGCUGGACGGUGGUGUAUCUGUGCUCUCGGUUUGCGUGAACCUGAUCCGGUCUUAAGAACCCCGGUGGCGGGUUGACAUAUGCAAGGGUUAAGUGCUACAUAUGUCGUGUGAUUGGAGAUCCUCAGCUGAGUAUAAUCGAUUCGGAUCGCCGUACCUUCGCGGUUAUGAAGACUUGGUCACUUUUCUACAACCUAAAGUCAGGACGUGAACACUAUGGAUAAAAAUGAUGUUGUCUUGAUGAGAUGUGAAAUUAGACUAGAUGCAAAUAGAGUCUAUUAAUACUUAAUAUGGCGUUAAAAGAUUGAAAGUAAGGACUCACUUUAGUAAGCUACUUCUGCAAAAGUAUAAGUUGAUUUUUGCUAAAGCCUCUCCUUGACUCCUAUUUAUCCAGCAUACCCUUGAGAGUCUUUUCCUUAGUCGGGUAAGACUUGCUGAGUAAUUCCAUACUCAGGGUUUUAUUCCCUGUUGUUUUUCAGGUUCUAACUUUGUGCUGUUGUUGAUGGUGUUAAGUGCCGGUGGGCUCGGCCUUCUUAUAAGUCUAAGUACUUCUUCUAUACUUCUUAUUGAGGAUGGUCACUUGAGCUAGCAUAUAUUUCAAACUUAUACUUUUGUAAUCACUCCGAUAAAAUAAUAUAAAAUUUUUGUAACUUGUAAAAUUUGGUAAUAAGAUUUCCGCUGCAAAAUAUUGAUGUGUGUGAUUUGUGUUACUUAAUCCCGCGGUUCUGGUUGUAAGUGGUUUAUCCGAUGUCCUUGGGGCAAUCGGACGGAUCCUGUUAAGUUAUUUGGUGCACAUGCAUAGUCAUCUGAGGUCUUUGAGACAAGGACAGGUGCAUGUGGGCCCAAUAACUUGGGAGGUUCUGCCACAGCUGGUAUCGGAGCAGGAUUAAGUAUAUACGGUCACAUACUUAUUUUUAAAACAAAGUUUUAGUUUUAGAAAAACCUAUUUUCAACUAAACCCAUUGUUUGGUUUUGAAAAAAACAAUUUUGAAAAACUAUAAUGCUAGCGACAUCCUCUGUUAAGCCCUAAACUAAGGACUAUUAGGUGGCUUAGUUGAAAACCACUAACCCACAACCGGGUGGGUAUUGCAUACAUGUGUAUUGUUAUUUUUGAAAACCAUUCCAUUUGGAAUGGAUCGACGCCCAAGGUAAGGUGAGUUGUGAGAGCAUGACCGAACAACCGUCGGUCUAGGGGAAUGCUUAAUUGUGGCGCUUGAUUAUAUACAUGUUCUAUAUUUGUAUAUAUGAAAGCUGCGAUGUGGAGUAAUUACUUUUCUGGGAAUUCAGUACCCCAUGGAUGUGUAUGGGCAUAUAGACAUGGGAAUACUGAGAAGUGUAAUGUACUUGUAACGACGCACCUACGCUCAGGUAAGAAGGUGAGUUACCAUAAUGAGUUGCCCUAUGGUUAAAGUGUGGCAACAGCGCCUAUGCGUGGCUCGGCGCUUAAUGAAGAGCUGGCCUCCAUAUAGCAAUAUAUGGAGUAUAAACUGUGAUAAACUGUCAUGUGUGAACUGCAUCAUUGGAAAUUGGGUUGUGAUGGAUUUUUCUGCAGGUACACUAACCUCGAAAACGUAUGUGUUGCUGACGACUAGAAAAAUACCGUGAGAGUCGUAAGAAUGCCACCGAUAUAGAACGUUAUUGCCACAUUUGGUUGGCAAAAUCAGUGAGGACGUGUAGGACGAGCAUGCAUCCUGAUUGUUGCAUCAUGUUUGUCACCUAUACACCCAAGAUGCUUCUCUCAUCUUUAUUCCAGUAACCAUUGAUUGUAGAUAAUAUGGUGUAAUGCUGAAUUAUGAACUUCAAUGAAAUAGGUGUCCUCCAUUCUUUAGGUAACCUAUUCAGGUCUUAUAUGGUGUUUGCUCUCGUGCUUGAUGUGCUGAUAGAAGGUUGGUAGUUUGGUUGCUUAAACCCAAAAUUAGGUCAUGUUCUUAUUUAGUGAACCAUGACCCAAAGUUGAAUUGUCCAUUAUCACUCUAUGACCAAACACAUAAAAAUAAAUGCCUAGAUAAUUUCUUUGUUGAACAUAAAAUGUACCCAAGCUUAAAACAAGAAUCUCGAGUUAUAUCUCCUCCCAAAACCAUUUCCUUGUUCGGUUGGUGCAAGCUGAUGUCCCUUAUCCAGUUUGCUUAUUCUUAAGGAUUGUAUUGUCGCUUUAUCAACCUAACCCCGGAAAGACAUGUCUGAUUAUCUUCUUGAGUUUGGUGCCUUUGAUUUUUCCAUAUCUAUCGAAGGCAUACCAACUUAAUCUUAUGAUUGUUUUCCCUCCUUAUCUAAUCAGAUGCUAAUCCUUGACCUUGUAAUCUUUGUGAUGGGCAUAGAAAUAUGCUUGGGGCUGAAUCAACAGUCUCCCAUCGUACCCAUUUUUCAUUAAGUUUAGGUUAUGGCCAUGUCUUGUUCAUUUCCUUGGGCCAUAAUCUAUUUGGCUCUCUACCUGUAACUAUUCAUACAGGAGGAGUAUCUCUUUGUAUAUUAUCACCCUUGCCCAGUCUAUUUGUGAUGUGCGAGAUUUCUUAUUGGUUAUGUUUGAUAAUGGUGUUAUGACUAAAAUCGGUGGUGCCGUGACGAAACCGAGGGCCUUCUAUGUGUGCGCACACAUGGUUGUGCUACUCGGCACGCGCUGGUAUCACAGUUAGUAGUUGUAAUCCAUUGUGAGACUAUGUCAAUGCGUUAUCUUGGCACAAUCUAUUUUUGCUACGUGAGAUUCAUUAUUGGUGCCAGUUCGGUAGUGGUGUCAUGAUUAAGGACUUAUGGUGUCGCAGCGAAACUGAGAGCCCCUUGUGAAUGUACACGCAAGGUUAUGCUGCUUGGCGCAUGCUGGUAUCGAGUGAUCAAGCAACAUCUGUCAUCUCCAUUGGAUCAAAAGGGCAUACCACUUUCAUGUGUGGCCUUAUUUCUUUUGAUCUUGGUAAAGACUACUCAUACAAGUUCCCUUUACGUCCUUUGUGUAAAGGAGUUGUUCAUUUGCUCCCCUAUUUAAUCCAUGUAUUUCCGAACCCUAUCCGUUCAUCUCGCAUGAAGAAACGGAUGAACAACAUGACCAAAUGGAUUUCUACCCAAAUGCAUGACCUUUUGCUAGCAAAUGUGAACUCUCAACCCUUGGCUUACCGAUGGUACUGAGAGGACCUACUCAAUGUCAAUGGUAGUUCAACAAGUUGGUUUUACUAACUUGUAACUGCAUUAUGAACAAAGGUCGAGUUUAGAGAUCGUUUCAUCGAAUUGUCUAAACUCACUUUGGUUCAACCCAUCCUAAGGAAGUAUUUAUAAGAAUCGAGAUUAAGUCGGUCAGUAGCCAUCUAAUCAUCGCUCUAGUCGUGUCUCGAUUGCCUCACGUGUGCUUUUCCAGCAUGUGUGAUCAAGUCGAUCCAUGAUUAGUGCUCGACAAAAUGGACUGGUUACAAAGACCGCAUCUACAGAUCCCUCCACUGGUGAUUUUCUCGAAUCUAUAUCACCUUUCAGGGACUUGGAUUUUCUGGCUAGCCACAGGUCAACUGUGAUGUUAUUCGACAUUCACACCCGUCUCGUGUGCUAUGAACUUACUGUGACCGCUUGUUGGUAAACCUCUUUCUGUGUGUUUUACCCAAGAGGUUGCAUCUGGUUCUGUUUGGGUAAAAUCGUGUAUUUGUCGCCUGCUCAACAGACUCAGAUAGUACAGUGUCAUCAGAAAAAGCAAACUGCACACAUGGAACCUUAUGUGUUCCUCUGGCAACAUCGCCUCUAUUGUUGGACAUCUCUAAUUAGCCUAAGGCGAUACAUGUUAUGUCCACUAGAGAAACGACAUUCUGAGACACCCGCCUUUGCUUAGUACUGUCUUAUGAUUUUCGCUGAUAUGGACGUGGGUUAUAUGCUUCUCUACUCUUGAAAGUCUUUCGCUCCGAAUCUCGGGACGAGAUUCUUUUAAGGGGGAGGGCUGUAACACCCCGGGUGUUUAUAUUCCGCUCGACAACGAGUAUGGAUUUAAGCACGUAAUAUCAGUGGAUAAAACAGAUUUUUAAAUUUCAAUCAUCUUCGUUAAUCGCGAUUUUAGAAUCGCAUCUGUUCCGUCUGUCGCGAAUGCGACAUCAUUUUUUUUAUCCGGGCUCAUCCUAAAUUUUUGUGAUGUUCGGAACAUCGUGUUCCGAAAAUUGGUGUGUCCGAUGAUUAAUUAAAAUUCGUCGCUCGCGCGAACACGAAUUCGGAAGCCCGACUGACUCUGAUGAUUUUUAUCGUGACUAAAUUUAUUUGAACUCGACGACAAAAAUGUUCGAGGUAAAAUAAUUCAAAUCGCGUGAAAUCUUACGCGAGGUUAUGACCCAAUUUAUCCUUCAGCACGCUGUUUUGGCGACGAAAACGACUGUGCAUUAGCGGAUUGGGUUUUGGCUAAUUUUCGGUCGAAUCACGCCGAACAAAUUAUCAGUGCUGAAAUCAGUUUAUUUCGGUCUGUCGUUUCUUGCCCGAUCCAAAACUUUGGAUAUAAAUGAUGGGUGUAAAUUCAUCUGAUUCCAAGUAACCGCUAAAUCAAAACUGUGACGGCGCGUCCGAGAAUUAUAAUUGAGCUUCGAUUCACUGGUAAAUCAUUCGUGGCUGUGGAACCAGAUGUUCAGACCGCAGGUAAAUUUAUCAGAUUUUUGAAUCGAAUCAACUGUCGCAAUUAAUGUUGACUCUUUUGCUAUCGCUAAAAAUUCUGGGUUCUAAAAAUAUCUGCAAAUUUCUAAAAAUAAAAGAAAAGAAAUAAAAAAAAAACUGAAAAUAUCCUCUCGAGCCUAUCCCUUCCACCGCUCACGUUCUCGGAUUUUCUUUCAUUGUGUUGACCGUCGGCCUCAUCCCUGGCCGUUCUUAUCUGCCGCCGCCGCUUCUGGGAUUCUUCAAAUAGCUCGCCGUACUCUGGUUCCGGCCUGCAGCUCCCCAGCCCAGGGCCGCGGGCUACAGCCGUUCCUUCUCCCUGCUCCUCUGCCCUUGCUUCUUCCACGCCGUGCUGCUUUAGCUCGGGGAUAAAAUCCCGUCGCGCGCAGCCUCUGCUCACCGUGGCUGGUGCGCUCAUUUCCGUCGAGCUCCUUCUCUGCCAUGGCCGCCGUCAAGUUCCUCCCUGAAGCUCUCCGCGCAGCAGCAAAUCAUCUGCUCCCUGGAUAUUUUCAGCGCUUAGCAAUCUUUAUCUCCAGCCGUGCGUUCUUCUUCUUUGCGCAGCAAAUCCUCUGCUCUGCUCCCACGGACGGCUCCCUCCCAUGGCGGCCGCUCGUUCCACCUCCCUGCACCGCGCCGUGAAGGUCUCUGCCUCCCUGCUCGGUUUCCGGCUCCAGCUCGCGUCGAGCUCCCUUCUCUGCUUCCUGCCGCGAAGUUCCAUGGCGCUCGGCGUCUAGCUUCCUACGCGACGGCCGCCGGCCAUCUCCAGCUCUCCCUUGCGCGCGCGAUGCUCCCUGCUCGCAUCCGUACAGAACCGCGCCAGCUCCUGUGCUGAGCUCUGCAGCCGCGCUUCCUCCAACAGCAGCUGCGUCACUAGGCCCUCGACGUCGUGUUGUGCGCUGGGACGUGCCCAGCCUUCUCGAAUCACGCCGUCGAUUUUUGGCACCCUUACACACAUCUCUACAGAUCCUGUCUCAUCACGCGUCCGCAUCAUUGAUUUUGUCGUCGUUCGUGCAUCCCCAAGAAAUCCCAAGAAUCGGGUGAAGACGAAGUUAAUAGUGCGAUAUUUCCCAGGCGCUCGAUAAUUGACUAGAUCGGAAAAUCACUACCGAUCUCGUGGAUUUGAGUCGGCUAUUGAAACGGUAAGCUGAUAAAUUAUCCAAAAUAGUUCGAUCGUUGCAUAAAUUGAUGUGCUAGUACGAGGUGCAUUAAGGUGCUCGAUAAAUUGUGUGAGUCACGAAACUCUCGUCGACUUCGCAGUUCUUGCGAUUAUCGAGCCAGAUUCAGCUAUAGCGAAUUAUUUCGCUAUUUCAGUCACUUAGCUGAAUUAGUGGAUCGAGUAGAAUUUUAGUAGGCAUGUGUGAUGAUGAAAUAUUUUAAUCACUUAUAAAGAUGUAGUAUAAUUUAUAAAGAAAGGGAUUAAUUCAGAAUUUAAUUAAUUAACUGAUAAGUUGUGAUUAGGCUAAUUGUAUUUCAUGUGUAUAAUUUGUUGUUCGUGAUGUUUGCGUUAGGUUCGAGAAGCGUAAUUAUUGCGCACAGUCGUAUAUUAAUAACUAGUGUUUGCGUACACAAUUGUACAACGCCUCACCGCUAGGUGUUAAAUUCGCUAUCGCGUAGCACUAUUUAGUUUGUAAUAUUCUCGUUUAUAUGCAUUCAUGUGCAUAAUGCAUUUCAUUCAAGUACGUUAAUUAAUCGUGUGAUGCGAAGAACGACCCAAGUCGACCCCAAGCAUGGGCCAAUCCACAGGAUGAUGCUAAUGGACAAACCUGAAGAGGAUUGUCAAGUGGACAUCGUCUAACAACACUAACCUAGUGUUACCCAGGCAAGCCCCGGUGCAUGCAACCCCUUUCCUUGUGUUUUAAAUACUUUUUACACACUUAAGUCUAGUGAAAUGUGCAUUAGGUUCAUAGGAGUUACUUGAAACCCUUUGAUGCAUUGCUUUCCUUGAUAUCCAUACCUUUAUAGAUACUUCUGUGAAGUAUCAAAAUUAUGAUUUACAAAAAUGCUUAGCCUUGCUUAGAUCUUGUGGAUAGAGGUUGUCCUCAAUUUAACCCGGGAGAGGAUGGCUUCUACCCGCAAGAAUAUUUUCUUUUGGAGCAAUAGUGGGAUCUUACUGCAAAGUUCCCUGUGAUGCUCUUUCAUCCUAAGGAACAGACACAAUCCUAAGGAUGGAAAUGCUUAAAUUGAGACUUGGGUUAGGAACAGGUGAUGUUCUACCCAGGUUGGUUAAGGAUUAACGCGUAUGUAGGCGUGCUGACCGAGGACCCUUUAACUGGUCACAUGCCUCGUCAUGGGUAAGCCUUGCCUCGGGCAGACUAAGGCCGGAAUAAGAUAACACGAAAUGGGCGUGGAGCGGUGGCGAGAGUAGCGUGUACCCUCCGUGGCAAGAGGCUGGACGGUGGUGUAUCUGUGCUCUCGGUUUGCGUGAACCUGAUCCGGUCUUAAGAACCCCGGUGGCGGGUUGACAUAUGCAAGGGUUAAGUGCUACAUAUGUCGUGUGAUUGGAGAUCCUCAGCUGAGUAUAAUCGAUUCGGAUCGCCGUACCUUCGCGGUUAUGAAGACUUGGUCACGUUUCUACAACCUAAAGUCAGGACGUGAACACUAUGGAUAAAAAUGAUGUUGUCUUGAUGAGAUGUGAAAUUAGACUAGAUGCAAAUAGAGUCUAUUAAUACUUAAUAUGGCGUUAAAAGAUUGAAAGUAAGGACUCACUUUAGUAAGCUACUUCUGCAAAAGUAUAAGUUGAUUUUUGCUAAAGCCUCUCCUUGACUCCUAUUUAUCCAGCAUACCCUUGAGAGUCUUUUCCUUAGUCGGGUAAGACUUGCUGAGUAAUUCCAUACUCAGGGUUUUAUUCCCUGUUGUUUUUCAGGUUCUAACUUUGUGCUGUUGUUGAUGGUGUUAAGUGCCGGUGGGCUCGGCCUUCUUAUAAGUCUAAGUACUUCUUCUAUACUUCUUAUUGAGGAUGGUCACUUGAGCUAGCAUAUAUUUCAAACUUAUACUUUUGUAAUCACUCCGAUAAAAUAAUAUAAAAUUUUUGUAACUUGUAAAAUUUGGUAAUAAGAUUUCCGCUGCAAAAUAUUGAUGUGUGUGAUUUGUGUUACUUAAUCUCGCGGUUCUGGUUGUAAGUGGUUUAUCCGAUGUCCUUGGGGCAAUCAGACGGAUCCUGUUAAGUUAUUUGGUGCACAUGCAUAGUCGUCUGAGGUCUUUGAGACAAGGACAGGUGCAUGUGGGCCCAAUAACUUGGGAGGUUCUGCCACAUAACCUAUUGUCCGUUAGUCAACUUUGUAAUAUGGGUUAUAAUUGCUUAUUCACAAAUGUAGAUGUGUCUGUCUUUAGAAGAAGUGAUGGUCCAUUAGAUUUCAAGGGUGUACUAGAUGACAAACUUUAUUUAGUUGAUUUUGCAAAAGAGGAGGUCGGUCUAGAUGCAUGCUUAAUUGCUAAGACUAGCAUGGGCUGGUUGUGGCAUCGCCGUUUAGCACAUGUGGGGAUGAAGAACCUUCACAAACUUCUAAACGGAGAACAUGUGUUAGGUCUAACAAAUGUGACUUUCAAAAAAGAUAGACCUUGUGCAGCUUGUCAAGCAGGUAAACAAGUGGGAAAUGCUCAUCACAGCAAGAACGUGAUGACUACAUCAAGACCUCUGGAGCUGCUGCAUAUGGACCUCAUCGGACCCAUCGCCUACCUUAGCAUCGGGGGAAGUAAGUAUGGCUUAGUAAUUGUUGAUGAUUUUUCCCGCUUCACUUGGGUAUUCUUUUUGCAGGAUAAAACAGAAACCCAAGGGACCCUCAAGUGCUUCCUAAGGAGAGCUCAAAAUGAGUUUGAGCUCAAGGUGAAGAAGAUAAGGAGCGACAACGGGUCCGAGUUCAAGAACCUUCAAGUGGAGGAGUACCUUGAGGAGGAAGGAAUCAAGCACGAGUUCUCUGCUCCAUACACACCACAGCAGAAUGGUGUGGUAGAAAGGAAGAACAGGACGCUCAUUGACAUGGCAAGGACGAUGCUUGGAGAGUUCAAGACCCCCGAGCGAUUUUGGUCGGAAGCCGUGAACACGGCUUGCCACGCCAUAAACCAGGUCUACCUUCAUCGCCUCCUCAAGAAGACGUCAUAUGAGCUUCUAACCGGUAACAAACCCAAUGUGUCAUAUUUUCGUGUUUUUGGAAGCAAAUGUUAUAUUCUAGUGAAGAAAGGUAGAAAUUCUAAGUUUGCUCCCAAAGCUGUAGAAGGGUUUUUGUUAGGUUAUGAUUCAAAUACAAAGGCGUAUAGAGUCUUCAACAAAUCAUCGGGUUUGGUUGAAGUCUCUAGCGACGUUGUAUUUGAUGAGACUAAUGGCUCUCCAAGAGAGCAAGUUGAUCCUAAUGAUGUAGAUGAAUAUGAUGUUACAACGGACGCAAUUCGCACCAUGGCGAUUGGAGAUGUACGGCCACAGGAACACCAAGAGCAAGAUCAACCUUCUUCCUCAACGAUGGUGCACCCCCCAACUCAAGACGAUGAACAGGUUCACCAAGAAGAGGCGUGUGAUCAAGGGGGAGCACAAGAUGAUCUUGUUAUGGAGGAAGAAGCACCUCAAGCCCCUCCAACACAAGUCCAAGCGACGAUUCAACAAAAUCAUCCCGUCGACCAGAUUUUGGGUGAUAUAAGCAAGGGAGUAACUACUCGCUCCAGAUUAGUUAAUUUUUAUGAGCAUUACUCUUUUGUCUCUUCUAUUGAGCCUUUCAGGGUAGAAGAGGCCUUGCUAGAUCUGGACUGGGUGUUGGCCAUGCAGGAGGAGCUCAACAAAUUCAAGAGAAAUGAGGUUUGGACACUGGUGCCACGUCCCAAGCAAAACAUUGUGGAAACCAAGUGGGUGUUCCGCAACAAACAGGACGAGCACGGGGUGGUGACAAGGAACAAGGCACAACUUGUGGCAAAAGGUUAUGCCCAAGUCGCAGGUUUGGACUUUGACGAGACUUUUGCUCCUGUGGCUAGGCUUGAGUCAAUUCGCAUAUUGUUAGCCUAUGCCGCUCACCAUUCUUUCAGGUUGUUCCAAAUGGAUGUGAAGAGAGCUUUCCUCAACAGGCCAAUCAAAGAGGAGGUGUACGUAGAGCAACCCCCUGGCUUUGAGGAUGAACGGUACCCCGACCAUGUGUGUAAGCUCUCUAAGGCGCUCUAUGGACUUAAGCAAGCCCCAAGAGCAUGGAAUGAAUGCCUUAGAGACUUUUUAAUUGCUAAUGCUUUCAAGGUUGGGAAAGCCGAUCCAACUUUAUUCACUAAGACUUGUGCACUACAGGAAAACACUUAAUUCCCGUCGGCCUAAAACCGACGGGAAUAAGCCCUAAACUGACGG